AACGCACCUUGCGCUCUCUGGUAUUCCGGAGAGCAUGCCUGUUUGAGUGUCAUGAAUCUCUCAACUCUUAGAGUCUGUAAUGGACACUAAGAGCUUGGACUUGGAGGCUUGCCGGCGUUUGUCGGCUCCUCUUAAAUGCAUUAGCUAUGGACCACGAUGUGUACGAUCUACGGUGUGAUAUAUGUCUACGCUAUGGAUCUACAUGCGAGUUACCGCCCUCGGGUAGUGCUUUUCAAAGCCGUGUGACGAGUGAAUACAAAGCUUCUAAUCGUCUUCGGACAAUCUUUCUGACAUCUGACCUCAAAUCAGGUAGGACUACCCGCUGAACUUAA
rnacentral:misc_RNA from 1 species